rnacentral:rRNA from 1 species
AUCGAACUCGGAUAUAGCUGGUUCUCCCCGAAAUAGGUUUACGCCUAGCCUCGUGGUAAAGCUUCUUGGAGGUAGAGCACUGAAUAGACGAUGGCGUCGUAUAGAUGUACUGAAUUUAAUCAAACUCCGAAUGCCAGGAAAGUAUACACGGGAGUCAGUGUAUGGGUGAUAACGUCCAUACGCGAGAGGAAAACAAUCCAGACCACCAGCUAAGGUCCCAAAUUUCAUGUUAAGUGGGAAAGGAUGUGGAGUUGUCUAAACAGCUAGGAGGUUGGCUUAGAAGCAGCCAUCCUUUAAAGAGUGCGUAAUAGCUCACUAGUCGAAUGACACUGCGCCGAAAAUGUACCGGGGCUAAACAUGAAACCGAAGCUGUGGAUUUUAUAGAUAAUAUAAAAUGGUAGGGGAGCGUUCUAAUUGCGACGAAGAUGGAUCGUGAGGACUGUUGGAGCGAUUAGAAGUGAGAAUGCCGGUGUGAGUAGCGCAAGAAGGGUGAGAAUCCCUUCCACCGUUUGCCUAAGGGUUCCUGGGGAAGGUUCGUCCUCCCAGGGUAAGUCGGGUCCUAAGACGAGGCCGAAAGGCGUAGCCGAUGGACAACAGGUUGAUAUUCCUGUACCACCUAUAUAACUGAUGGAGUGACGAAGGAGGCUAUAGAAAGCCAGUUAAUGGAUUCUGGUCUAAGCACAAAGGCGUACAUAUAGGCAAAUCCGUAUGUAAUGUAGCUGAAGUGUUAUGGUGAAGGUAAUAGCGAUAUUACUGAAAUUUCUAGACGCCAAACUUCCAAGAAAAGCUUCUAGGGUUAAUUAUAUAGGUGCCCGUACCCAGAACCGACACAGGUAGGCAAGGAGAGUAUCCUAAGGUGAGCGAGAGAACUAUGGUUAAGGAACUCGGCAAAAUGACCCCGUAACUUCGGGAGAAGGGGUGGUCUAGCGAUAGACCCGCAGUAAAGAGUCCCAGGCAACUGUUUACCAAAAACACAGCUCUCUGCUAAAUCGAAAGAUGAUGUAUAGGGGGUGACACUUGCCCAGUGCUGGAAGGUUAAGAGGAGAGGUUAGUAAUGACUUCGGUUAUAUUUACGAAGCUUCGAAUUGAAGCCCCAGUGAACGGCGGCCGUAACUAUAACGGUCCUAAGGUAGCGAAAUUCCUUGUCAGGUAAGUUCUGACCCGCACGAAAAGUGUAAUGAUCUGGGAACUGUCUCAACCAUAGACUCGGUGAAAUCUUAAUACCUGUGAAAAUGCAGGUUACCCGCGACAGGACGGAAAGACCCCAUGGAGCUUUACUGUAGCUUGAUAUUGGAUCUCGAUGUGUUAUGUAGAGGAUAGGUGGGAGACUAUGAUGUUAGGACGCUAGUUUUAACGGAGUCAACCUUGGAAUACCACCCUUAGCAUGUUGAGAUUCUAACCUCGACCCAUUAUCUGGGUCAGGGACAGUGUCUGGUGGGCAGUUUGACUGGGGCGGUCGCCUCCCAAAAAGUAACGGAGGCGCUCAAAGGUUCCCUCAGAAUGGUUGGAAAUCAUUCGAAGAGCGUAAUGGUAUAAGGGAGCUUUACUGCGAGACCUACAAGUCAAGCAGUUACGAAAGUAGGACAUAGUGGGCCGGCGAUUCAGAAUGGAAUGGUCGUCGCUUAACGGAUAAAAG